rnacentral:rRNA from 1 species
GCCUGGCCCUAAAUCUUGAUGCUCGAUCUUACCGGAGCAUCCGCCCGAGAACUACGAGCACUAACGCUUAAAACUCUAAGGACUUGGCGGUGUCCCAAACCCACCUAGAGGAGCCUGUUCUGUAAUCGAUGAUCCACGAUAUACCUGACCAUUCCUCGCCAGAUCAGCCUAUAUACCGCCGUCGCCAGCCCACCCAGCAUGAAGGACCAACAGUGGACGCAAUAGCCUCACCCGCUAAUAAGACAGGUCAAGGUAUAGCCUAUGGAAUGGAAGCAAUGGGCUACAUUUUCUAAGCUAGAACAUAACGGCAAAGGGACAUGAAACUGACCCUAGAAGGAGGAUUUAGCAGUAAAGUGGGACAAUCGAGCCCUCUUUAAGCCGGCCCUGGGACACGU